CCUCCCUCUGCUCUCGCAGGGGGAGCGUGACGCGGCGUGGGGACGAGAACGAGGGGAUGCGCCUGCGCAGGACGUAGUCCUUCGGGUGAGGGCGGGAGCGUUAAGCUCCGCGCCAGCGGGCUGGAAGUCGUUCCCGAAAAUGGGAGGUCUGUGCCUUUCGGGCACUCCGGAGAGGAUAAUGUCUAUAUUUUUGCCGAUAAAAAAUUAUCUGGGUUCCAGAUCCAAGAGAGAAAAGCAGUUUGACUUAAGCAAAGGGGACACGGGUUCAAGCCCUGGUCUGGAAGGAUCCCACAUGCCGAGGAGCAACUAGGCCCGUGAGCCACAACUACUGAGCCUGCACGUCUGGAGUUUGUGCUCCGCAACGAGAGAGGCCGCGACAGUGAGAGGCCCGCGCACCGCGAUGAAGAGUAGCCCCUGCUCGCCACAACUAGAGAAAGCCCUCGCACAGAAACGAAGACCCAAC